AGACGUGCCUCCAGAGACGAGUAUAAUCGUAAUUAACGAGGUAAAAAUGGAGGCUGUUUGGAGGACACCUAGACAGUCUGUGGCAACUCUGCGGGCGCAUGUACACCAAGUGAAAACUCAUAUUUACCGGAGAAAAAGAUAGAAAAGGAGAGAAAGAGAGUCUGGAAAUAAGCCGGGGCAACGCGUUACGUGAAAAUAAACGAGGGGGAUCCUGAUAAAAGGAAUCGCUGUACGUUCUGCAGGGGAUCUGUUUGGCUAUAAACGAGCGUAACUGGUCUAAGACUGGUAGCACGUCUCCUUUAAUACCUUAAGAUCAGUUUCCAUGGAUAAAGUCAUGACGGAGGGACAAACAACGCGUUACUGAGAAGGAAUAAGGGUAAGAAGAUUAAGUUAAUCUUUGUGGAUACGAAGACAAUGGGAGACAGUAUCAGGAGACAAGCAGACCAAAUAGUGGGGGAAAAGGAAGAGGAAGGGGACAGUGAAUAAUGCGAACACAAUUUGACUGCAACGGCAUUAAUUAU